rnacentral:rRNA from 1 species
ACGCCGCGUGAGCGAAGAAGGCCUUCGGGUCGUAAAGCUCUGUUGUCAGGGAAGAACAAGUGCCGGAGUAACUGCCGGCACCUUGACGGUACCUGACCAGAAAGCCACGGCUAACUACGUGCCAGCAGCCGCGGUAAUACGUAGGUGGCAAGCGUUGUCCGGAAUUAUUGGGCGUAAAGCGCGCGCAGGCGGUCCUUUAAGUCUGAUGUGAAAGCCCACGGCUCAACCGUGGAGGGUCAUUGGAAACUGGGGGACUUGAGUGCAGAAGAGGAGAGUGGAAUUCCACGUGUAGCGGUGAAAUGCGUAGAGAUGUGGAGGAACACCAGUGGCGAAGGCGACUCUCUGGUCUGUAACUGACGCUGAGGCGCGAAAGCGUGGGGAGCGAACAGGAUUAGAUACCCUGGUAGUCCACGCCGUAAACGAUGAGUGCUAAGUGUUAGAGGGUUUCCGCCCUUUAGUGCUGCAGCAAACGCAUUAAGCACU